rnacentral:lncRNA from 1 species
UGCGAGAAAGGGUGGGGCGAGUCCAGCUACAGGAAGAGUAGCGUUACUAUGGCAACCCUGACAGAGAAAUUAAUGUUAUGACUGGAUGAAGACAAUUGUGAAGAAACUGCACUUUGAGGUUGUCUAUCUCUGUAUUCUGAUGGAAAAGCGUGGAGUUUAGAAGCACUGCUCACUCCUUCAGUUUCUAACAAGUUUGAGACUAUGGUUAGGUGGUGAGGAAGGCAGGCUCAGCACCCAAGCCUUGGGGAGACGCAGAAAGGGCCCAUCCCAGGCACUCAGGUGGAGGUAAGCAUAGCCUUUGGGCCAUAAGACCUCAUGGCCACUGGGGUGCUGGUCUGGAAACAAGUCCUCAUCUUCCCAGAAAUGUCAUCUUUUGUCUGCAGCAGCUGGCUGGAGAAAGAUUUCAGAAAGGUGUGUGCCUGGGGCACCCAAAGGCAUGACCUUCCUUUCUCCUUGGCAUAGGCCUUACAACACUGAGGAAAGGCCAUGGUUUGGCAUUGGAGCCUUCAAUAGUUUUCACCCCUAUGGAUCGAAAAGAUUGUCCAAAUAGAAGCUUAUAUAGGAUGUUAAAAAGUAAACUGACAGGACUAUGAAAAUUGUCUCCCAACAGAGUACAGCUUUUUUUUUUUUUUUUUUUUUUUUUUUUUUCUGAGAAAAAACUCCAGGAUGGAGUACAGUGGUGUGAUCUUGGCUCACUGUAACCUCCACCUCCGGGGUUCAAGUGAUUCUUCUAUCUCAGCCACUCGAGUAGUUGGGACUACAAGUGCGUGCCACCAUGCUUGGCUAAUUUUUUGUAUUUUUAGUAGAGACAGCGUUUCACCAUGUUGUCCAGGAUGGUCUCAAUCUCCUGACCUUGUGAUCCGCCCGCGCCUGCCUCCCAAAGUGCUGGGAUUACAGGCGUGAGCCACUGUGCCCGGCCCAUUUUGUUAAAAAUACAGAAAUAUUGGUAAAACCAUUAUCAAAAGCAUUGUGGAGCUUUCUAAAAACUUACAAUACCACAUUAUCCAGCAAAUCCACUUCCAGAUAUAUAACCAAAGGAAAUAAAACUAGUAUCUAGAAGAGACAUCUGUGCUCCCAUAUUUAUUGCAGAAUUAUUUACAAUGACAGAUGUGCAAACAACCUAAGUAUUAAUAAAUGAAUGGAUAAAAUAAUUGUGGAGUAUUUAUAUAAUGGAAUAUUAUUCAGCCAUAAAAAGAAAAUCCUGUUAUUUACAACUAUAUGAAUGAACCUGGAGAAGAGUAGGCUGAGUGAAAUAAGCCAGACAGAGAAUGAGAAAUAUUGUUUGAUUUCAGUUAUAUAUGAAGCCUAGAAAGUUAAAGUCAUAGAAACAGAGAGUACAAAGUGGUUUCCAGGAGCUGGUGGGUGGGAGAAAUGGGGGGUUGUUAAUAAAAAGUGCAAACUUUCAGGUAUAAAAUAAACAAGUUCUAGUGGUCUACUGCACAGCAUGGAUGUUACUGAAUGUUAUCUUAGUCUGUUCCAACUGCUGUAAUAAAAUACCUUAGAAUAGAUAAUUUAUAAGCAGUAUAAACUGAGUUCUCACAGUUAUGGAGGCUGAGAAGUCCAAGCUCAAGGCACCAGCAGUCUAGGUGUCUGGUGAGGGUCCAGUCUCUGGUUUCAAGAUGGCACCUUAAAUUGCUGUGUCCUCACACAGCAGAAGGACAAAAUAGGCCAAACUCAUUUUCUCAAGCCGUUUUACAAUGACAGCUAAUUGCAUUGUUAAGGGCAGAUUUUUCAUGCCCUAGCAACCAACUAAAGUCUAAUACUAUUGUAUUGAGGAUUAAGUUUUAAAGUAAAUUUGGGAGGGACACAAAUAUUUGAACAAUAGGAAUUAUGUUAAUUUAACUGAUUGUGAAAGUGAUUAGACAAUGUGUGCAUGUAUCAAGUCAUCGCAUUGCACACCUUGAAAAUACUCAAGCCUCACUUGUCAGUUAACAUUUUUAAAUUAAUAAAAUAAAAUGUGGAAGUAAUUUAUCCUUUGAGCAAUAAAAAAGUCUACUGAAGAUUUUUUUAACACCAGCACUACUUUGGCUGUUUGGUGUUGUGAGAUUGCUAAAAACUGAAAAAUGCAGAAAGAAAUGGAAAGAAUCACACACAGUCUUCACAAAAAAGUCAGCUCUGAGUGUGAGGUGGUGUUAAUCUGGGCGAGGCAAUGACAAGUGAUGGCAAAUAAAAAUAACCCUAAGACAAGAUUUUCAGAAUAAAUUAAAUUUUCUUAACUUACUGGAAAAAAUUACAUUACUAGCCAUGUAACAAACCUAUUUUGUACAGGUGGUGAAACCAAAUUUUAAGUAUAAAUUAUGAUGUAUUAAAAAACAAAAAGAAUAUUUUUGUGGUCUUAGAAAAAAAUUAUUAAAUGAACCAAGUAAGCAGAAUAUACAACAUUUUCAAAUACUAAAGAAAAAAAUCAUUGAAAAUUGCAAAAUUUUAGGCUCCAAAAGACUCACUAAUUUAAUAGAAGCAGAAAUCCUACAGCUAGAAAAUUUGCAGAUAGAAAAUAUAUUUUUCAGCUUGGAAAUCAAAAUGGAAACUACAAAUUCAAGCGUAACCAACAAAUAAUAUAUACCUACAUAUCGUGUAACUUUUUGUUGAAAAAAGACAUUUCGAAUAUUAUAGUAAUUUUGAAAUCAGAUUAUCAUCCUUCUUCUGUGUUUUUGUUGCUACCUAUUGCGACGUGUGCUCUGUCAUGCAUGUACAUUGACAUCUCUGUUCCAUUAGCUUGGUAGUAAGCUACUGAUUUGCAGAGAUUUUCUUAAAUGUUUGUUAUUUCCCCACUUCCUCCAAAUAAAUUUUAUAAUGUUCUCUUUUGGGUGUGUGUGUGUGUGUGUGUGUGUGUGUGUGUGUGUGUGUGCGUGCUGGAGCAUGCCUUUACUAAUCAGCCAGAAAUUUACAACUUGGUUCUUGCCUUACUUUCUGCUGAUACAGAGUUUGAAGGUCAAACAAGGGUGAAUACUGAGGGUCUUCCUGGGAUUUCUUCUUUUCUUUUCUUUUCUUUUCUUUUUUUUUGAGAUGGAGUUUCACUCUUGCUGCCCAGGCUGGAGUGCAAUGGCGCGACCUCAACUCGCCACAAACUCUGCCUCCCGGGUUCAAGCAAUUCUCCUGCCUCAGCCUCCCAAGUAGCUGGGGUUACAGGCAUGCACCACCACACCCCACUAAUUUUGUAUUUUUAGUAGAGAUGAGAUUUCUCCAUGUUGGUCAGGCUGGUCUCAAACUCUAGAUCUCAGGUGACCCACCUGCCUUGGCCUCCCAAAGUGCUGGGAUUACAGGUGUGAGCCACCAUGCCCGGCCCUCUUCCUGGGUUUUUCUAGACUGCAUACCUGGCCCUGAGCCUCCAUAUGACCUCCUAAAUUUCCUAGACUAUUAUCACAGCCCAAUCCCCAAAGUGUCCCAUUCCCCAGUCUUUCCUUUUAGGGCUUUUUUUUUUAGCAUGAUUAUUUUUUCCUCUAUUAGUAUAUUUUGUCCCAGGAAAGCCAGGUAGUAUAUUCAUUUAAAAGUUUGGGAGAACUUAUUAUUAUUGACUUGAGUUUUUUUUUUGUUAUUGAGAUUUUUUUGUUAUUGACUUGAGAUUUGUCUUUCUUUUUUAAUGAAGAAAUUCACUGGUAUAGGUUUCCCUCAAAACACUGCUUUCACCAGUUUCCGUAAGUUUUACGUUUUGGUUACAUUGUCAUUUAUGUUAAAACACUUUCUGAUAAGUAUUUGUGGUUUUCUUUUGAUCCAUAAAUUAUUUGGGAUUUUGCCAUUUAAUGUCCACAUACUUAAGAGUCUCCUAAAUUUCUUGCUUUCAUUGAUCUCUGAUUCUAUUAUGAUUAGAAAUCACCCAUUGUAUUAUCUCAAUCUCUAUUUUUACUGAUGUUUUAUGGCCCAGCAGGUGGUCUGUCCUAGAGAACGUUCCAUGUGGAUUUGAGAAGAAUAUAUAUUCUCAUGUUGGAUGCAGUGCUGUGCAUAUGUUUGUUAGGUUUAGUUGUUUUAUGUUGUUGUUCAUGUUUUCUAUUUUUUAUCUUCUGUCUACUUGUUCUAUCCAUUAAUAUAAGUGAAGCAUUAAAGUCUCCAACUAUUACUGUUGAAUUAUCUAUUUCUCCCUUUAUUUCUGUCAUUUUUGCUUCAUGUAUUUCUGUGCUUAUUUGAUAACUGCAUAUAUGUGAAUAAUUUUUUUAUAUUUUCCUGAUGAGUUUACCCUUUGCCAAUACAAAAUGUCUUUAUCAGUAUAUAUUUUUUUGUUUUGUUUCAUUUUGUUUUUUGAGACAAGAGUCUUGCUCUGUCACCCAGGCUGGAGUGCAGUGGCACAAUCUUGGCUCACUGCAACCUCCGCCUCCUGGUUCAAGUGAUUCUCCUGUCUCAGCCUCUUGAGUAGCUGGAAUUACAGAUACCUGCCACCAUGCCUGGCUAAUUUUUGUAUUUUUAGUAGAGACAGGGUUUCACCAUGUUGGCCAGGCUGGUCUUGAACUCCUGACCUCAAGUGAUCCACCUGCCUUGGCAUCCCAAAGUGCUGGGAUCACAGGCAUGAG